GUGAAUCUAGGCACGAGAGACGCCAGUGAGAUGCGGAGAAAGUCAGACACACAGCGGCAGAAUGUAGGAUUAGCAGAAGCAGGUUGAUUUACGUUCCGAGAGCGAGUGGGACAAGGCUAAGCUAAAAGCCAAGCUUCCACAGUCAAUGGACUCUGCUCAGGAAGGAAUCCAGAGAUUCCUGAGGUCACAAGUAGAGCUGAGGGAUGAUCCUGGCUGGGACCCCACAUGGCAGGAUGUCUUUGGAUGUAGUAUGAGGUCGCCUUCCAAAAGGGAGACAUCCAAGUCCUGAGCAGCGUUGAAGUUCCGUUCCACCUGGAAGAGCUUUUCAGGGGGGUACCUUGCCAGCAGGGAGGCCCGCAGCUCUUCUGAUUGCAGCAUGUAGCUCGGCUGAGGAACAAGGCCAGUGAGAACCACACCGUCUUCCUAGCACGGGACCGUAAGAACCCCUCUAUCUUCCUAGCAUGGGACCAUAAGAAUCUGGAUGUCCUCCUAGCACAGGAGGAUCACAGGAUGAGCAUCGAGCUUGGCCAUCUCCACACGUGCACUCUGUGAUAAAGGUGAGCAACUAAAACAGCAUUUAUGUCUGCUGAGUGGGACUCUGAGUGGAAAUUCAAGGCAAAUGAAACAGUCUAAGGAGAAAUGAACAGACGCGCCAGUUAGUGACACAUUAACCGGGUGUUGUCUCCCUACAGUCACACUGCCAGUGAAUGUCACAGUUCAGCCGGUGUCAGCCGAAGUAAACAAAGACGCCAUGUUUCUUUUCUAUCCAAAUUCACAGACUCUAGGCAAUCUAUCCACAGACCAAGGGUUUACAGCCAGUGAGGCACAGCACUGACCCUGAAGUUGAGUUCCACACAAUGAUAUUUUAUUUUAUUUAUGUGUGUGGGCAUAUUCUGGUCCUCACAGAGGACAGAAGAGGGCAUCAGAUCCCCUGGAGCUGGAGUACACACAGUUGUAAAGCACCUGGCAGGAGCCCUAGGAGCUGAACAGGAGUGAUCCAAACGCUGAUGCCAUCUCUCCUGCCCACGGGUUUCUUUUGGAGCAGCCACCUCAACUCUCUGAAUUAUUAAACAAAUUUUCCUCAU